rnacentral:rRNA from 1 species
AAUCAACGCUGGCGGCGUGCCUAACACAUGCAAGUCGAACGCGAAAGUCCCGCAAGGGAUAAGUAGAGUGGCAAACGGGUGAGUAACGCGUGGGCGACCUACCUUCGAGUGGGGGAUAACCUUCCGAAAGGAGGGCUAAUACCGCAUGACAUCCCGUGUUUGGAUACACGGACAUCAAAGCCGGGGAUCGCAAGACCUGGCGCUUGGAGAGGGGCCCGCGUCCGAUUAGCUAGUUGGUGAGGAACGGCUCACCAAGGCUCCGAUCGGUAUCCGGCCUGAGAGGGCGGACGGACACACUGGGACUGAGACACGGCCCAGACUCCUACGGGAGGCAGCAGUGGGGAAUUGUUCGCAAUGGGCGCAAGCCUGACGACGCAACGCCGCGUGGAGGAUGAAGGAUUUUCGGUCGUAAACUCCUUUCGACCGAGAUGAAUUCUCGCCGACCUAACACGUCGGCGAGGUGACAGUAUCGAGGGAAGCAGCCCCGGNUAACUCCGUGCCAGCAGCCGCCGUAAU